rnacentral:rRNA from 1 species
UACGUAGGUGGCAAGCGUUAUCCGGAUUUACUGGGUGUAAAGGGAGCGUAGACGGCAAUGCAAGCCAGAUGUGAAAACCCGCAGCUCAACUGGGGAGUGCAUUUGGAACUGUGUAGCUGGAGUGCAGGAGAGGUAAGCGGAAUUCCUGGUGUAGCGGUGAAAUGCGUAGAUAUCAGGAGGAACACCAGUGGCGAAGGCGGCUUACUGGACUGUAACUGACGUUGAGGCUCGAAAGCGUGGGGAGCAAACAGG